rnacentral:rRNA from 1 species
UACGUAGGGGGCAAGCGUUGUCCGGAAUCAUUGGGCGUAAAGCGCGUGUAGGCGGUUCGGUAAGUCGGCUGUGAAAGUCCAGGGCUCAACCCUGGGAUGCCGGUCGAUACUGCCGGACUAGAGUUCGGAAGAGGCGAGUGGAAUUCCCGGUGUAGCGGUGAAAUGCGCAGAUAUCGGGAGGAACACCAAUGGCGAAGGCAGCUCGCUGGGACGUUACUGACGCUGAGGCGCGAAGGCCAGGGGAGCGAACGGG